rnacentral:lncRNA from 1 species
CUGGACUUUGCCCUUCACGGGCUUCAUUCCCCUCAUAUAUUUAUUUGGGCUGAAUCUGAACAGGUCUGUGAUCCCGAGGUUCGACCCGGGCGCCGGCGGCGGCGGGGCCGUACCGCGGCGCUGCAGCAGCUGCCGUCUCGCCGUGAGGCGCGGCGGCGACCGCGAACGCAGGAAUCACCACUGCGACUGCGAGCCACGGUCGCAGUACCAGGCAACCGCAACUAGUGCCGUCGCAUGAGCUGGAGUGCCGAACAACCUCCACCGCUGCUACGAUGCGGGCUUGGUACUUCUGUCCAUGGUGGCAGACGUCUCGACUCCCGGCGGCGGCGCGUAUGGCAGAAGGUCGUAGACCCAUGGGAUGACUGGGUCGCCUGGAUUCGCGGCGUUGCAGGACCAGGCAAGCAGUGGCAUCCACGAACCAAGUAAGUAGAUUUGCGGCUUUGCUCUGCUUUUGCCAGUUUCAGUUCUCGUGAGGGUAUCAAUCUGACUAUACAUUUAUGUAAACUGUGAUCUGAUUUGAAUUGGAACCAUUACCAUAUUAGCUGGAUUUUAUUUAUGGACUUUGCUAUAGAUUGCGUCUGCAGGAAAUCCAAUUUCCGGCUGCACACUCCAAUCUGUGAAAGAAAUUAUUUUAGUUGCUAAAAAAGGAAAAAAACAGAUCAGAUCUAGGGUUUGCCGACUCGGAUGCCCUCACCCUGCCAUCGGCCACCGCCCUGCUUCCGACGAACCCUAGCGCCCGCGGCGGCUGCCCUCUUCCCCUCCCCGCCGCCAUCUUCUCCAGCUCUGGCGAGCUCACUCGUAGCCAUAUCUCCAGCUCCAACGAGCCUGCCCGCCCUGAUCUGACCCGAUCGCCCUUGCGGCCGCCAGCUCCAAUGAGCUUGUCCGCCCCGACCUGACUCGAUCGCACUUGCUGCCGCGAGCUCUCUUAAGCCACCCAUCGACCAUCUCCACCACCUGUCCUACCUGCCUCCUCCCUGGCCAACCAUUCUAUAGCCCACCGUAGGUAGGGAGGGAGGGAGGGAGGGAGGGAGGGAGGGAGGGAGAGGGAGGGAGAGGCCUACCUCGCCAGAUCCGGUGGAUGUGUUGCCGUCGUCGCCAUGGCCGCACGCGGAGGAGGCGGUGGUGAUUAGGCGCGGAGGCCAUUGGUUAGGUGCUCGCCAGAGAGAGAGAGAGCCAGGAAAGGCUGAAGAUGAGUGUGCGACACGUGGGUGGAUGUGCGGGCAGUUCCUCCGGAGGAUGCGUGCUUUUAUUUUAGUAUUUCCGUCUAUUUAUUGGGAUUCAUUUUGAUGACCUUCGAAGCGGGUGUUGUACAGCUAUAGGAUUAUUACUACUAGACUUUAGAUACGGGAUUAUUAUUACUAGACUUCAGAUACGGCCUCCGUUGAGAAUUUUGAAGGACUAGUUAUGCAAUUUAUAUUCAUCUCUCUCAUGAACAGAUUGGUGCGGCAGGGAAUAACCAAACUUGAUUCCAAGCAAAAUUACGCCUCUUUCCUGGCCCAUUGUACAUGGAUGACCAUGUUUAGCUUCAUCUUCUUAUUUUGACAGCUCUGCUUUGGUAUCUUACUUGAAGGUCUUCGGCCAUCUUGAGAUGCAUCAUUCCAAAACUCUAGUAUGGAAAACUAUGUUUGCAUGAGCAAAAAAUAAUAUGCCUACCUAACUUGAUACUAGGAUAGAUGUGCACAUUAAUAUUUAGGGCUAACGGCCGUGCAUGCGUUAGGCCAGCCGCCAGCCGCACGCAAGGUCACUCUAGCAUAGGCACGUGGUCCUCAUCUUCUUCCUUCCUACGGUCCCACCACCCCGCCUUCAUCGCCCCCGCCACCGGCGAGCUAGGGUUUUAUUAGAGCUCUACGGCCAUGGCUGUGGCCAUGCAGCUCCGGCGAAACCCUAGCUCGCUGGUGGCGCCACCUUCUUCCCCUCACCUCUCCCUCUCCCGCCCUCGCCCCGACUUGGCUCGACCGCUGCUACCACCGCUAGGGUCCCUAAAUCGCUCGGUCACCAUCCCCACUGCUGCCUGCUUGCCUCCCCUGGCCGGCCCCUUCUAUAUUUGCCGGAGUUGGAGAAGAAAGAGGGGGGAGAGGCUCGCCAGAACUCUAGAAAGCAAAUCGAGGAGGAGGAGGAGGAGGAGGAGGAGGAGGAACUUGCUGGGCACCAGGGAGAGAGAGAGAGAGGUGGGGUGCAAGGUGUGGAGGUGGAAGAUGACCUGUGCGUGCGGGCAUGAGGUGGGAAGGUGGGGCGCGUGUGUGGUGCGAACUUAAAACGCUCGCUUGUUUUUAAGUCUUUGCGUUUAUAAAUUGUUAAUAUUAGGCUACCAUAUAUGGAUAGUAGUAUUUAGUAAUUUAUGUGAAAAAAGCUCCCUUUGGGUUUUACUAUGCAUGAGGUCCUGUAUGCAAGAUACUAUAAUAGCCUUUUUUCUUUGAAAGCUAUCAUGGUACCUUCAGUUCAAGGUUGGGCGAACGUGGACUUUCGAUUAGGAUCAAACGGUUGAGAUCACGUCUAAAGAACAUGGGCCUGCGGGAGCUGAUGGCUCCUUUAUUUUCUGGAGCAUUUAAUGUGGGUCUUUUUAUUAUUUUCAUGGGCCAAAUUUUCAGCUAAGUUUAAGUUUAUUAUAUUCAAUGCAUCUCAUUAUUAUUUAGAGAAUCAUAGCACUGCCUUAUGUCUGAUGUUUGUUUUGCCCACAUAAUGAUUAUUUUCUACUACUAAUGAUUACUUUUCUGGUCGGAUGGAACCGACAAGAAAUCAUAAGAUUUCAUUGUGGCUUAUGUACAUAACUUUGACCAAUGUUAACUUAUAUGCAUACGUUCACAAAAAUUAUGUUUAGUUUCUUUUUCAUUUCUGCCUAGCAGUUAUGCGAGAUAGAAAUGUCAUUAACUUAUUUUAACCAGAUCAGCGCAGGAUUUUAAUUAAAUGCAUGAUAUAGUGUUUAUAUAUCUUGCUAAUAUUGUUUUAAUUUAUUUUAAGUCAGCGCUAUGUCCUCCACAGGCUUAUAGAAAGAGAAAAUUUAGUUGGCUCACUUAUUUUUGAAUAGUGAUCAUGCCAUACAUGAGCAUUCUCCUACUCUCCCAACAACAGAAGAGUAGGAGCGUGCUCACGUAUGACAUGAUCAUAGUUCAAAAUUAAGAGAGCCAAUUGAAUUUUCUCUUUCCAUAGUGGGAAGUUGGUCUAGUCGAGGAGAGGGAUCUCUUUGGUCCUAUCCAUAACCUCUGAAGGACGUGACACUAACUCAAAGUGAAUUAGAAUAACAUUAGUAAGGUUAUGUAAACAUUAUGUCGUGCAUAAAUUAAAAUCCUACGUUGAUCUGAUUAAAACAUGCUAAUGGCGAUUCUAAUUUGCAUCACUGUUAGGUAGAACCAAAAAAUAAACUAAAACAUAAUCUUUUGAACAUAUUAUGCAUAUAAAUUAACUUUGGUCAAAGAUACAUACAUAAUCUUGUGAACAUAUGCAUAUAAAUUAACUUUUGUCAAAGAUAGAUACAUCCACAACGAAAUCUUUAAUUAGAAUUUUUCAUUGCAUCCAUUCUUACUAGAAAAUUAUUUAUAACUUAGCAGCGAAAAUAAUCAAUAUAUGGGCCGAGGAGUCCAUUAUGUCACCCUCUCUCUAGCAGCGUCUGUGUGUGAAAAUGCGGGGCACGAAGAGCGAAUGGGGAUUAGGGUUAGUGUUUUUUUUUCACAUGCCGUUUUGGUUUGAGGUUGGGCGAACGUGGAAUGUCAAUUAGGAUCAGACGUCCUAGAUCGCAUCCGAAGCAUGGGCCUGCGGGAGCUGAUGGUUCCUUUAUUUUCUUAGGUAUUUAAUAUGGGUUUUUAUUAUUUCCAUGGGCUAAAUUUUCAGCUAAGUUUAAGUUUAUUAUAUUCAGUGCAUCUCAUUAUUAUUUAGAGAAUCAUAGCAUUGCCUUAUGUAUGAUGUUUAUUUUGCCCACAUAAUGGUUAUAUCUGCAGCUUAUGCUUACAUAGCAUAAGAUUCAAUAGUGGCUUAUGUAUAUAUCAUUGACCAAUGUUAACUUAUAUGCAUACGUUCACAAAAUUAUGUUUAGUUUCUUUUUCGUUUCUGCCCAACAGUAAUGCGAGUUAGAAAUGUCAUUAAAUUAUUUUAACCAGAUCAGAGCAGGAUUUUAAUUAAAUGCAUGAUGUAGUGUUUAUAUAUCUUGCUAAUAUUGUUUUAAUUUAUUUUAAGUCAGCGCUAUGUACUCCACAGGCUUUGGACAUGAUUAAAGAGAUUUCUCUUCUUGUUUGGACCAGUUUUCUAUUAUAGAAAGAGAAAAUUUAGUUGGCUCACUUAUUUUUGAAUAGUGAUUAUGCCAUACAUGAGCAUUCUCCUACUCUCCCAACAACACAAGAGUAGGAGCGUGCUCACGUAUGACAUGAUCAUAGUUCAAAAUUAAGAGACCAAUUGAAUUUUCUCUUUCCAUAGUGGGAAGUUGGUCUAGUCGAGGAGAGGGAUCUCUUUGGUCCUAUCCAUAACCUCUGAAGGACGUGACACUAACUCAAAGUGAAUUAGAAUAACAUUAGUAAGGUUAUGUAAACAUUAUGUCGUGCAUAAAUUAAAAUCCUACGUUGAUCUGAUUAAAACAUGCUAAUGGCGAUUCUAAUUUGCAUCACUGUUAGGUAGAACCAAAAAAUAAACUAAAACAUAAUCUUUUGAACAUAUUAUGCAUAUAAAUUAACUUUGGUCAAAGAUACAUACAUAAUCUUGUGAACAUAUGCAUAUAAAUUAACUUUUGUCAAAGAUAGAUACAUCCACAACGAAAUCUUUAAUUAGAAUUUUUCAUUGCAUCCCUUCUAACUAGAAAAUUAUUUAUAACUUAGCAGCGAAAAUAAUCAAUAUAUGGGCCGAGGAGUCCAUUAUGUCACCCUCUCUCUAGCAGCGUCUGUGUGUGAAAAUGCGGGGCACGAAGAGCGAAUGGGGAUUAGGGUUAGUGUUUUUUUUUCACAUGCCGUUUUGGUUUGAGGUUGGGCGAACGUGGAAUGUCAAUUAGGAUCAGACGUCCUAGAUCGCGUCCGAAGCAUGGGCCUGCGGGAGCUGAUGGUUCCUUUAUUUUCUUAGGUAUUUAAUAUGGGUUUUUAUUAUUUUCACGGGCUAAAUUUUCAGCUAAGUUUAGGUUUAUUAUAUUCAGUGCAUCUCAUUAUUAUUUAGAGAAUCAUAGCAUUGCCUUAUGUAUGAUGUUUAUUUUGCCCACAUAAUGGUUAUAUCUGCAGCUUAUGCUUAUAUAGCAUAAGAUUCAAUUGUGGCUUAUGUAUAUAUCUUUGGCCAAUGGCCAAUGUUAACUUAUAUGAAUAUGUUCACAAAAUCAUGUUUAGUUUAUUUUUCGUUUCUGCCCAACGUUUAUGCGAAUUAGAAAUGUCAUUCAUUUGUUUUAACUAGAUCAGUGCAGGAUUUUAAUUAAUGCAUGAUGUAAUGUUUACUUAUCUUGCUUAUGUUAUUUAAAUUUAUUUUGAUUUUAGUCGGUGCUGUGUCCUUCACAGAUUUUGGACAGGAUUAAAGAGAUUUCUCUCCUUGUUGUAAAAAAUGAGAUUUCUCUCCUUAUCUGGACCAACUUUCUAUUAUAGAAAGAGAAAAUUUAGAUGGCUCUGUUAUUUUUUCAACUGUGAUCAUGCCAUACAUGAGCAUUCUCUACUCUCCCAACAACACAAGAGUAGGAGCGUGCUCACGUAUGACAUGAUCACAGUUCAAAAUUAAGAGAGCCAAUUGAAUUUCCUUUUCCAUAAUAGGAAGUUGGUCCAUUCGAGAAGAGAAAUCUCUUUGAUCCUGUCCAUAACCUUUAAAGGCCGUAACACUAACUCAAAGUAAAUUAGAAUAACAUUAAUAAAGGUAUAUAAACAUUAUGUCGUGCAUAAAUUAAAAUCCUACGUUAGUCUGAUUAAAACAUGCUAAUGACGUUUCUAUUUUGCAUCACUGUUGGGUAGAACCAAAAAAUAAAGUAAAACAUAAUCUUGUGAACAUGUUAUGCAUAUAAAUUAACUUUGGCGAAAGAUACAUACAUAAUCGUGUGAACAUAUGCAUAUAAAACUUUGGUCAAAGAUACAUACAUAAGCCACAACGAAAUCUUUAAUUAGAAUUUUCAAUUGCUUCCAUUCUAACUAGAAAAAUAAUUAUAGCUUAGCAGCGAAAAUAAUCAAUAUAUAGGCAAAAUAAACAUUAUAUGUAAGAUAUCAUAAAACAAUGCCAUGAUUCUCUAAACGAUGCAUUAAAAUAAUGAGCGUAAAACAUAGCUCAUUUGGCACAUGAAAGCAACAAAGGACCCACGUUAAAAUAGCCCAGAAAUUAUAUUAAGAAAUAAUUAUAAUGUUCUUAAGCAAAUAAUCAAUCAUUAGUGCCCCAUUAUAAUUAUGAUUAUAAUUAUGCCCUUCAGACAGCCAUAAUAUAAUACUCAAAAUAGAUAUUGCAUAAUUUCUAAUUGACCAAAAUUAUCCCAAAAUAAUAAAGUUAUGGCACAACGUAUCUCAUUCAACAUUUUGACUUAUUGAACGGUGCUGCUAAAAAAAUUGAACAGUAAGUAAUGCACUGAAAAAUAAGGGAGCCUAGAAACUUGAUGAAUUUGGUCCAUACUUUGAGUACCCCAACUUUUGCAAAAGUCUGACUUUCCUUCCUCAACUCUAAAACCAGAAAUAAUUCCUCCACCCAAAACCGGUCACUUGACAUCCAAGGCUGUUUCUCUCAGUGUUUUUUCUUUCUUUCUUUCUUUUAUAUUUAUUUCGUCUGAAUCGCUAAAAAAUCAUAGUAAAUCAUAAAAAAAUCAUAAAAUAAAAAAUUCUAUUAUUUUGGACUCCACAUGAGUAUAUCUACACAAUAAACAUAUGAUAUUGUAUGCUUUAAUACAAAAACUAGUUUUAAAAGUUGAAUAAAAAACCAGAGUUUUGUAGAUGAGGGGGAAAAAUUGGACGACGAACUUGUAGGUCAAAAGCUUUCAAACUGCUACUAGCAACUAGAAGUUGGGCCGUAAGUGGAUAAUUCCAGGCAGAAGAUUCAUGGGCUUCAGGCCUGCACAAGCUACACGAGUUCAGGGUCGGCACUCCGGCUUCAGUUUUUUUUCUCAUCUUGGAUUUCUCGAUGAGCGCCUUAAGUCCAGACAAACACAUUCGCCUCAUUUUUGGGCUGAAUCUGAAUAAGUCUGUCAUCCCGAGGCUUGCCCCAUUCCGCCUUGGCCCUUGGCGCCGAUGACGACGUGGCGGUACAUACAGCGGCGCUGCAGCAGCUGCAGUCUCACCGAGUGGCCGUGAGGCGCAGUGGGGGCGGUGAAUGCAUGGACGCGCAACUAGUGCUGUCGCAUUAGCGGGAAUUGCAAACAACCUCCGCCCCCGCUACGCCGCGGGCUUGGUACUUCUGUCCAUGGUGGCAGACGGGCUGAUGCAGUCUUGACUUGCGGUGCCUAUGGGGAAGAGUCGCAUACCCACGAGGUGAUUGGGUUGCGUAGAACGGGGCAAGCAGUGGCAUCCACGAACCAAGUAAGUAUUGCGGAUUUGCUCUGAUAGUUCUCGCAAGCGUCCACCAAUCUGAUUAGGUACUUAAGUUUAUGGAAAAAAAAGUGUUCUGAUUUGAAUUGCGUGGAUUUUAUUUAUUGUGAUUCAGUUCAACGACCUCUGAAACGGGGGAUAACAGCCAUAAGAUUACUUAUCACGAGGCUUUAGAUAUGAUGUGCUGCUAUCUGGAUUUCCAGGACGGCCUCUGGUGAAAAUUUUAAAAGGGACUAGUUAUAUGAUUUAUAUUCUUCUGUCUCUGGAAGAAUCUGGCACUACUGGGAAUAACGCAACUCAAUUUCAAGCAAAAAUUAUGCCUCUUUCCUGGCCUAUUGUACACGAAUGGUAAUGUUCAGCUUCAUCUUAUUCUGACAGCUCUGCUCUGGUAUCUUACUUGAUGCUGCUCGCCAUCCUAAGAUGCAUCAUACCAUAACUCUAGUAUGAAGAAAUGUGUCUCCCUGAGCAAAAAAAUAAGUUAAUAUGUGUACCCAACUUGAUACCAGUUUAGAUGUGCACAUUUGAUUCUAUAAAUUACUAAUACUGGACGUAUAUGGAUAUUAGUAUUUAGUAUUUUAUCUGAAAAAAACUCCCUUUGGGUUUUGCUAUGUAUUAGGUUCUAUGCAAGAUACUAUAAUAAGAUAGUAGCCUUUCUUUAAAAACUUGUCACAAUACCUUCAGAUUUGAACACCAUCAAUGUGCUUGGUCUGGAACCCAUUACUCUAGAGUAUGUGGUCAUCUCACAAAGUUGGUUAUUAUCAUAGGAUUUUUAUUCUUGACCAUGGGCAGGACUGUCAUAUAACUUCUUAAUUCAAAUGCUUUAUCUCCUCAGCUUUUAGGCCUUCACUAGAACCUUGUGUUUCAGCAGAGCUGUUGGGACUCAUGCUUUCUGUAUCCAAAUUGUAAACUGGAUCUUCGCUGGAAAAAAGAGAAAUGAAUUGUAGAUAUAAAAUUACUAGAAAAAAAAUGACAACUGCAGAAAUGUCUUGAGAGAAUAUCUUACAGUAUUUGACUGAAGUUCUGCUUUGGUGGCAUGUCCAGUUUGUGUAAGUCUCUUUCAAACAUUUCUAAAACCUUGGUUAUGGUAGGGCGAUGCAUAGGUAAAAUUUGGAUGCACCACAGACCAAUUAGAGUCAUCUUUCUGGCAAUUUCUUCUACUUCACUUGUGACUUCACAAACUGUAAUCCAUCGUGCUGGGCAAAGUGAUCAUAAAUCCAAUGUGGAAAAUACUUUUCACUUGAUUUUUGAACUAUUGAUUUCACAUUUUUCCUGCCUCCAACCAUCUCUAGCAACAUCAUUUCAUAACUAUACACAUUUGAUUCUGUUGAGACAACUCCAAAAGUUCGAGAGUGAACUUCAGGAGCAAUGAAUCCAAUUGUUCCUCUAGCUCCAGUCAUUGAAAACCUACUCUCCUUGGUAUGACACAAUUUAGCUAAACCAAAAUCAGCAAUCUUUGGGCAGAAGUCCUUAUCUAGAAGGAUAUUUUGAGGUUUGAUAUCAAAGUGGACAAUUCAUGUAUUUCAACUAUGAUGCAAGUAUUCUAGACCGUGAGCAAUCCCAAUUGCUAUUGUAUAGAGCUUUUGCCACCCUAAAGUUUCUUUGGGCUUGUCAGAGUAAAUGUACUGAUCUAGAGAACCAUUAGGCACGUACUCAUAUAUAAGUGCUCUUUUUGAGUGUUCCAAACAAAAGCCAAAUAAGUUAACGAUGUUGACGUGGGAUGUCCUUCCAAUGCUCAUAACCUCAUUUACGAGCUUGUGCUCCUUGUCUUUUCACCAAGGAGAAACCAUAGUCUUUUUACUGCCCUCUUCCGUAUCAGCACACAAAUGCAUGGAAAGAGUAAACUUGCAGCUGCUGCCACCAAAACUGAGAUUAACGCAGAUGUUAUUUACUUCAUAUAUAAACAAUAAAUGUCUGUAGUAUAUUUUAUAUCAUUUUUAUUCUUUUUCAAGGAAUGAGUCCAUCCAUGAUCCCUCAACUCUUCUCAUGGUCUAAUUUUCAUUGCCCUCUUAAAAACUUGUUAUAAUACAUUAACUAUUAAAACAAUACAAGUCUUUAUAAAAAAAACCAUGCAAAUCACAUCCCUAGACUGCCACAGCUUUUUGCCACAUUAGCUGCCAUGUUAUCAGCUUGGUUCACAUCAACAAUGCUUCUGCUUCCUUGGAUCCUUGUUCUGUACAGAGCAUGUCUAGACUUGAAGUGGCAGUUCACUGACGAUCUUACUUUUUACUACUAUAGACUAGAGAAGCUAGGGAGCGACAUAUACGUGAUCAUUAUUAGAUAUAGAUGGUGGACCACAUUAUUAUUGCCUUGGCUUGAUUGGGAGAGUCCUUAGUCUUUUUGUCCAGCCUGUGGGUCAAGCUUGGUGAAAAUGCUUCUUAAGUCUUAACAGUGGUUGGGGUGGGUUUUCAGAUGGAUCAAGAGUUGGAGAAGGUGUUUCACUCAGUAUGAGGAACCGAAGUUUCAUCAAGCGAAGAGUUGAAGGACUAUGGACAGACUUUUCGAUUUUUUAAACAGGUAUCAUAUUAUGCUCCAGACGAAGUAAUUACCAAUGAGAUGACAGCCUGAUUAAAAAAGAUUCUAUCAAGACAUAAUGUGAGUAUUAUUUACCUAUUAAUAUUAUGGUCCCAGUGUUAGUGGUCUUGCUUCCUGCAACAGACAUGCUGAGGUUACUAAUUUUGCACUCAAAUUAAGAAAACAUAUGCUUGAAACAUAAAUAUUUUUGAGAUAGCACUGCACUACAGAUAUGCGGUGAAUGAUGAUUUGCCUUGAUACUGAGCUGUCAAUCAUUAUGUACAAAGAUUUUUCAUAAGUCGUGCAUAUGUAAGCAUGCUUUUUUGUCUGUAUGUACUGAUAAUAAUACUAAGUGCACCGGUUGCUUUCACUUACCGGGCUUAUAGUCGUAUACAUAAGUAUUUUAUCGUGCUAUAGUCCUAACAUGUCCAACUAAUUUUGUCCAAACAGUCAAUACCACCAGUGGUAGCCGGGACGAGGUCUAACGUGCCGCUGCAGUUGUAGAUGAAGCAAAGGGCUCGGUUCCGGCGGCUAAUCGUGAAGGCGCGCUCGGCGAUGAUGCUGGCCGAUACGUUGAAGACUUGAAGUCGACGCGGCAGACACCAUCGUCGCCGGUGGUGAGCCUGGUGUGGGAGACGAUGAAGGAGUUGUUGGCGUAGUCGAUGCCGAGGACGUGGAUGGCAGAGCCAGGCUUUGUUUAGUUCGCAAAAUUUUUGGGUUUGGCUACUUUAGCAAUUUCGUUUUUAUUUGACAAACAUUGUCCAAUCAUGGAGUAACUAGACUCAAAAAAUUCAUCUCACAAAUUACAGUUAAACUGUGUAAUUAAUUUUUAUUUUUGUUUAUAUUUAAUGCUCCAUGCAUACGACCAAAGAUUCGAUGUGACGGAGAAUCUUGAAAAUUUUUACGAACUCAACCAGGCCUCAAGGAAGCGAAGCCGCUGCCAUCAUCACUACACCAGACCUGGAAGGCUGGAUGGCCUCAAGGUGACGAAGACUGGCUGAUGCCGCCGAGCCAGAACGGGUAUCUGACGACUGACGGUGAGGUUGCCACAUGUCGCCCGCUCGCAGUCUGCGUGCGCACGGUCGUGGAAUAGGAGCAAGAAGACCAAGAGCAGGGGGAGCAUUGACGCUGGGCGCAUGUUAAUUGAAGAGGGAAUUGGCCGGGAGUAGUAGCAUGAGUGCAGGACCGUCUUCGUAGUUUAUGUCCGAGUGAGAAAACAGUCGGCCAUUAGCAUUGACUAGUCUAUCCUAGUAUUUUAUAGAGCAGCUCCAUUAGACCAAGGACCAAGGUUCUAAAUCUGUAGCUAUAACCGGCCAUUGGAUGUAUGUAUAGUUUAGCUGUGAGCUGCCGUUAUAGGCAACUAUUUGAUGUUUUUAGAGGUAGAUCGCUAAAUGCCUUAGGGAUUUAAAAUGCUGAUUAGGAUACAUAUGUGUAACCUUUUUUUUAACCUUGUAUUUGUCUGAACUUUUUUGCUCUAAUAAAUCAACUAUAGGGGCUUCGGCCCCUCCACACCCUUAAAGCAAAAAUAUACGAACUUAAUCCUAGAAAGAAAAGAGGAAGAAUUAUAAUUUAGUCUGUUUGUAUGUGGACUCUUACCAAAACUCUUAGGCCUUGGCAAGACUAUAUAUACGUGGGAGUUUUAUGUUGUAACCACCAAUAUUCAGAGGAAUAAAGAAUAAUCUCUCUAUCUUAUGUCUAUUUGUUUUUCUACUUUCAUCUACUAUGUUGAUCAUGAGAGACGAAGAGGAAAAUGUCUCAACCGCUGGCAACAUGUUUUCUAACAACAUACUCCGACCGUGUCCUAUUUUUCAAAAACAGUGGCCACAUAAACCCACUUCAAGUGGGUCUUUAUUCGCGUACUAUGUCCUCGAGCCCUUAUUUCUAGGGCUUAUCUAUAUUUUUAAUGUUUUGGUAAUAUUUUCUCUCGCUUCCAUUUGUAUUUCGCCUGUAUGCAACUUUAGCCCCCACCAUUGUCCCUGAUUGGUGAUUUCAUCGCUGUGCAUCCUUCUCCACGAUGCUCUACUCUUGUGCGCUUAACUUUAGAGGUCCACCCCACGUGCCCUCCUCUCAACCUUCAACCUCUACCUCUCCUAGCGCAGCCUCAUCGUGGCAUGACCUCCUCUCUCAGUGUGGUGCACAACCUCGGUCGACCAGUUUCACUAUAAAUCCUAGCACCUGGACCGUGCCACCGUUGUUGUCCAUCCACUUUCAUAUCUGUUGACGCGCUUUCCCGACUUAGCAAUAGUGACCCGUGGCAAGCUACCGACUCCCUCCCGCACCGCAAUCGGGUGCGACAUUGUUUUCGGUGUGGCGAAAACGUGGAGCAAUUCUUUCCUUUUCACUACUUUGGUGGUCUAACCUGGUCAGUCAUUUUGCACAAGCGAAAUGACAACCUGGUUAGCCUGGUCCUCUCGUGGCGGCGGACUGCACCCUUCAACUUCUUCCUCUCCUCCUAGCACAACCUCAUUGUGGCACGACAUUCUCCCUUGGUGUGCUGCACAAUCUCAAUCGGCUGGUUUCACUACAAAUCCUGGCAUCUGGACCGUGCCGCCAUUGUUGUCCAUGCACUUUUAUAUCUGAUGGCGUGCUUUCCCCGACUCAACCAUAGUGACCUGUGGCAAGCCACCGACCUCUCCCACAUCUUCCAUCCGCAUGACACAUAGCCACUUUCCUUGUGGCAAUCUAGCAAGAUACAUCCACUAGCUUGCCUAAGGCGCGUUUCGCUAGGCCUUGUUGGGGUGCGGCUCCCUGUACCCGCAUGGAGGAAGAAGAAGACCGUGAUUUUUUUUUCUAGACACUAGCAUUUGGGGCCUAUCUCAAGGGUAAAUUAGUCCAUUCCAAUCAAAAUGUCCUUGUGUGGAUCUGGAGCUGUCAUGUAGUGAUGUAGCCAAAUACUUCCAUGGUGAAUCUCAGAUCCAAUAGUGGAGCUACUCCAUGGUGAAUCCCAUAUUCAAAUUCAAAUUUCUAGAGGAGGAGCUGUCCAAACAGGUCCUAAGACUGAGAAGAUGUGGAUUCUAGGGGUGUACGGAUUUACAUACAAUACACAAACAGUAGUGAGGAAUGCUAGGAAGGUUCUGAUUCUAAGGGUAAUAUUACAAGGUAUAAGUUGGCGCACUUUGUUGCGCACACGGCAGUGGCUACCUGCAGAGAGUUGCACUCUUUUGAUGUUAUGUGCCUGCAAAAAUUCUUGUAGCGAAGUGUGCGUGAGGAAUAGUACGGCGGGACAACCAUCUAUCGCGCACGGGGGAAUGCUGGCCUCCUCCACCGGCCACCGCAUACAACGGACCGAAUGCCUAGGGCCAGGCCAAGGUGUUGUUGCCCCAAUUGGUAACAGGCCUAGCCCACCAAAGCGCUCGGUACGUGCCAUCAACACAGAAAGCCACGCAUAUGCAGAGAGCACUCUUGACUCCCUGUACACAGAUACUCCUGCACUGCAGGUAUGGAUUUUUUUUUGAGAAUUAUACAUUAUUACGUAGACAUCUAUAAUAUACAUGUACACCUACCUCUAUAAACAAUAUCCCUGUAUGUAAGUACACAUACCAGGCUACUGUAGGAAUAUGUUGUGAGGCUAUGAAAAAAUUAAUGCCUAAUAUUGAUGGUAUAGCUUACUUUGCAGUAGAUGCCCAUAUACCAAAGCGUGGGUAAGCGUCGUAUUAUUAUUUUUUUAAUUUGUAAGGCUUAUCUCUUUGGCCUUUAGCGUGUCACUAUAAGCUUGUAUUGUCGUAGUACUGCUGGGACUUGUGCUUUCUGCAUUCAUAUUGUAAGCUAGGUCUUCGCUGAAAAAGAAAAAAAGGAAAGUAGUUGAAUGUAUCAAGAUGAAAAUGGCGGACAGGUACAUAAGUGAGUAGUAAAAAAUUAUCUUACAGCACUUGACUGAAGUUUUGCUUCGAUGGCAUCUCCAAUUCAUCUGAGCCACUUUCGAACAUUUCUAAAACUUUGGUUAUUGUAGGGCGAUGCAUAGGUAAUAUCUGUAUGCACCACAGGCCAAUCAAAAUCAUUUUUCUUGCAAUUUCCUCAUCUUCCUGUGCAACUUCACAAGCUACUAACCCAUCAUUUUGAGCAUAGUGAUCAUAGAUCCAAUCUGGAAAAUAUUUCUGACUUGACUUUUCAACCAUUACUUUUACAUUUUUCCUGCCCCCGACCAUCUCUAGCAACAACAUUCCAUAACUAUAAACAUCUGAUUUUGUCGAAGCCACUCCAAAUGUUCGUGAAUGCACUUCAGGAGCUAUAAAUCCAAUUGUUCCCCUAGCACCAGUCACUGAAAGCUUGCUCUCCUUGGUACGACACAAUUUAGCUAAACCAAAAUCAGCAAUCUUGGGGCAAAAAUCGUGAUCAAGAAGGAUAUUUUGAGGCUUGAUGUCAAAAUGGACAAUACGUGUGUUACAGCUAUGGUGCAAAUAUUCUAGUCCACGAGCAAUCCCAAUUGCUAUUGCAUAAAGCAUUUCCCAUCCUAAAAUUUCUUUAGGGUUCUCUGAGUAAAUGUACUUAUCCAAAGAACCAUUGGCCAUGUACUCAUAUAUAAGAGCUUGUUUUGACCCCUCCAAACAAAACCCAUAUAAGCUAACAAUGUUCACAUGUGUGGUCCUGCCAAUGCUCAUAACCUCAUUCACAAAUUCCUCCCCCUUUGCUUUGGAGUCAUGCAAGAAUUUCACUGCAACUAGGCGACCAUCAUUUAGUCUUCCUUUGAAAACAACACCAUAACCACCUUCUCCAAGCUUAUUAUUAUUUAUAGAAGAUGUUAUUUUUGUUGCUUCCGAGUACUUGUAUCUUUUUGGAGCUAGUGAUCCAUGCGAUGAUAUUAAGACCUCAAUGUUCCUUUUGUUUUUCCUGAUAGUCAUUUUACCAAUGAGAAAACAUGGUUUUUGCCCCUUUCUCUGACAUAUCAGCAGAUAAAUACAUAUGGAAGAAGCAAGGUUCCAGCCACUGCCAUCAAUACUGAAUUAAAGUACGUGUUAAUUAUUUGUUAUAUUAUGGACUGUUAAACUUCAAUAAUGAGAGUAAAUUUUUAAAAUGCAAGACCUCAAAAUUAGUAUUAGCAAGAUAAAACUCUCAAAUUUUGCUCCAAAUUCACCAGUCUUUUAAAGGCAUAAAGGUUGCUUCUUCUAAAUUUUAACAUUAACUUUAAUGUGGCACUUCUAUGAUCUUGCAUUGCAGAAAUUGAACUUUCAAAGUAAUUUAUAAUAUAUUAGAAUAAUUUUGUCACAACUGAAAUAUAUGGUUAAAUAUAAAAAGAUGGCUGAACAAAAUUAAUUACCUAUCAGCAUUAUCCUUCUGCUGCCAGUCCUCUUAUUACCUGGAAAAGCACAUAAUAUUAAUCAACAAAAAAACACAUAAUAUUCAGUUAACUCUAGAAAUUGACUGAAUUUUGUAAAAAGGACUAAUAUUUAUGACACAAAAUUAGUACAACACGAAGUGUAUUUUCGUACUAUACUUGUUUUUGUCAUAGAUGUUAAUACUUUUUGUAUAAAAUUAGUCAAACUUAAAAAAAGAUUGAUAUAUGACAAUUAUAAAAAGUUGGUUUAUUUUGAGUCAUAGAGAGCACAAUGUUAAUCAUGGAUUUUUUUGUAGACACCAUACAAAUUUUGAAAACUGGUGUUGACAGUAUGAUGUAAUAAUGGACAAAUGAUCCUAUAUAUUACUAAAAAGAGGAUCACCUACCCAGGAGGAGCUAGAUAAAUUUGCACACAGAAUGAAGGGUUGUUAUGCAUAAAUAAUCACUAUAAUCAUAGUGCACAGAUACCGGGAUGCAUUAGUUCAAUAGCUGUAAGUUCGUCAUAGUAUUUGGUCUCUUUGCGGUUUGUAUAGCAAAGAGAGCCAUGCAUUCUAGGAGCAACUUUAGCAUACCAUAGGCACCGAAUCCAAAAUUUAAAGGCUUAGGUAAAAAACAUAAUUCCAACAUGAUCUCUACUCAGGCCUCCAAAAGUAAGCACCCUAUUUUUCAGUUUCAGUUGUGUAUCACUCCGUCCCAUUUGAAACCACUCUUCAAGCCUGGCACACGUCACCGCCCGAUGCUCCACCCAACACAUCGCAGGCCAACACUCGACCACUCCUCCCCUAGCUGCCUGCUGCCCCACCUUCAUCUGGAGUCAGUGUGGAGAACAAGUGAUGGCAAGAUCACCUGCGCAGUCAUGUGUGUGUUGCUAGUCGUCGGUGUUGGGAGAGAUCAUGGAUCGAAUGGGGUCACCUCACCUGGCUAUUUCAUGGAGGCCACCACAACUAUCUUUUGUUGUUGCCGUGCUGGAUGGUGUGUUGAAGCGGUCAGAUAAGUCCCCGCUUUUGUCUCCAGAGCUGAUCAGUAGUGGUCACUCCAAUUUGACCCCUUUUUCCACAUCUACUUUGGCUCUAUUUGCUUGUCUUAUAAGCCGUAUUUUUUCUGCCAGUCAGCAAUGUUUUUCUUUUACAAUAAAUCAGCAAACAAUAUUUUUCAACUAUGACUUUUUAGAUAAAUAAACAGGUUUGUCUCCAUACUUUCAUUUCAAUAUUACAACAUCGACCGUUCACGAAAAGACAAAAAAAUUGGCUAUCCUGCGCGUGCCCGAUAAGCCUACACGCUUUCUAGAAUCUACUGUCUCUGUCCUAAAAAUUUGCUUUGGCUGUUCAAUUUGCAUGCUGCCGUCGUCUUGGCACCCUCCUACGUGGGAGGCACGGCGCCCUCCUCGCUGCCACUAUGUCGUCAUCACGUCACGGCCAUCGGUGUCGUGCGGCGUCGAUGUCGGUAUAGAUGGCCAACCGGGCCGUCCGGCACGGCAUGGGCACGAGCACUAUGCGGCACGGUGGCCCGCCAUAUGCCGUGCCUGAUAGUGCCAGCGUGCUGAAGUGGCAGCCCAGGCACAGCCCUAUCAGGGCUGGAGCGUGCCGUGCCGUGCCAUCAGGCACGGUGGCACGCAGUGCCCAUGCCGGCCCAAGCACUAAGCCAUCUUCGGCCAUGUCGUUGUCGUCGGAGUUUCCUCGGAGGUCGCGGAUCCUCUCCAUCUCUUCUUCCAUGGCAGUGGCACUAGCCUCCACCGUGUCUUCGGAGACAGAGGGCGGAGGCCAGGGCAGCACCCUCACUUCAGCUUGACCUGGCCUCAAUUGGCUUCCAAAAGAAGAGCAACAUCAGUAAAGAACUAGAGAUUGAAGAUGAGUCAAGAAUAGAGAAAAUCAGAGCUAUAGGGUUUCGUACCUAGACAGCACCGGCGAUGUAGACGGAGCUUUGGCCAGCACCGGAUCAGCAAAUCUGAAGAAAAUGGCGACGGUGAGUCAGAGAAGAAGAAGAAGAGCUUCGAGAAGAAGAGUCAUGGCCGGCGGCGAGUUAAGUUUCUAACCGAGCCCAGGCAGACCAAUCCAAGUUAUGAUGAAAAAUGAGACAGCACGGAGGGACACAAAAGCAAUGGUUUCGGAGGCAUUUCCAAUUCAUUUAAGUUCUUCUCCAACAUCUCUAUAACCCUGCUCAUAGAUGGACGAUUUUCUGGAGUCGUUUGUAUGCACCACAAGCCAACAAGGGUCAUCUGUAUUGCAAUCUCUUCUGUCUUGCAUGUGACUUCAUGACUUUGUAAAUCUUUAACCAAACGGUCAUGAACCCAGUUUGGAAAAUAUUGUUGACUAGAAUUCUCAGUGUCUUCUGUAAGAUUCUUCCUUCCUCCUGCCAUUUCUAACAACAUCAUUCCGUAGCUGUAUACGUCUGACUUGGUGGACACAACUCCAUAACCCCUUGAAAAUACCUCUGGAGCAAUAAAACCGAUGGUACCUCUUGCUUCAGCCAUUGAAAGGGCACUAUCCUUAAGAUGACACAGUUUUGCCAAUCCAAAAUCUGCUAUUUUGGGACAAAAGUCUUCAUCUAGAAGUAUGUUAUUUGGCUUUAUAUCAAAAUGGAUGAUCCGUGUAUUACAGCCGUGAUGCAAAUAUUCCAAGCCUCGUGCAAUUCCUAUUGCUAUUUCUCGCAACUUUUCCAAUCCAAUGGCCCCUUUUGUUUCUUCUGAUUGUAUAUACUUCUCCAAUGAACCAUUAGCCAUGUAUUCAUAAAUAAGUGCUCUGUUAGGUCGUAAACAAAAACCAAGCAAUUUGACAAUAUUUACAUGAGAUGUCCUACGGAUACUUGCAACCUCAUUCACGAAUUCCUCUCCAUUUCCUUUUGAUCCUUUCAGUAGUUUCACGGCAACCUUCGGGCCAUCUUCUAAAGUCCCCUUAAAUACUGUGCCAUAGCCGCCUUCUCCUAACCUAUCUUUGAAAGAUCCAGUUAUCUUCUUUACCUCUGAGUAUUUGUACCUUUUUGGAACGAGGGAGUCAUAUCCUUUUAGUAUUUCCUCUAUAUUUGAUUCAUAGCCUUUGUACUUUUUUCUCUUCUGGCGGUACAUUAUCCAAACAAGGGACGUAAGAAUCAAGCUGGCUGUAGAGGACAAGGCAACUGAAACAGGAUAUAUCAUGUUAUUACACACCAAUUUGUAUUGGAAAAACGCAAAUUAAUGCUUGUUUUAUCGUCAUUACAAAGAUAAGAUGCACCACACUCUUUGUUCUGGAAUAAUAAGUAUAUUUUGAUGAGGGAAAAAUCAACUCAUUAGAUUUUGACCCUUAGUUUCUCUUACUAUAUGUUUUUUUGGACAACAUCUCUCUUACUAUAUGUUAUCAUUUGUAAUCUCCGAGUCAUUUCGAACAUAAAUCUAUCGAUACAAAUUUUAUAUCAUAGACUUGACUAACUUUUGGUCAAUGUUUAUAAAUUUGACAUUGCCCUGUACAAACUACAUUUAUCAUUCUGGGACGGAGAAAGUAAACAAUAAUCAAGAAAUAUAUAAGGAAAUGGAAUAGUGCUGUAGCAAAAAGGAACGCAGGAGUGAUAGCAUAUAUGCAUCAGCUAACUGAAUAGCAGGCUGCUCAAAUAAAUUGAUCUGUUAAAAAACAUACCUAUUAAGAUUAACUUCAAGUUCUGUUUCUUCCUUGGAUCUGCUAAAAAAAUUAUAAAAUUGUAUCAAACCAUCGGACAAAAAAAUAUAUGAUAAGAGUUUUUUCUUUUUGAGGAAAAAGGCUGAGUUGAUUAUUUUUUAUUAUGUUGAGGAAAUGUAAUGUUAGCAAGAGUUGCAAAAGUGAUAAACUGAUAACAUAAAAAACAUGCAUGUUAUUUUUUUCAUUCAACAUCGACUGCUAUUUGAGAUAAUCUCGUGGAAUUCAUAUUUUAUUCCUCAUGAUUUUAGAUUUAAUAGGUACUUUGGUGUCUUAAGUCUCACCGGAUAAUACCACUAAAAUACUAUUGUCUUUGAUUAAAUUUGUUACUGCUCAGAUGGUUCUCUUGACUAAUGAUAUAUCAUUUCUCUUAAUUGUACGAGGGAGCAUAUGUUUCUUUUACACAAAGAGAUUCCUCUAAAGUCUAAAUAGCAUCAUUGACACAAUUGGACAAGUCUCUCAGUUGCGAAAAGCGCGCAAAGAUUGCCUUGGGAGUGCUAAUGUAGACAUAAUUUGGAAGCUAGGAGUACUUAAGUUGACAAGUACAGUCUAAGUUUUUUUCGCAAACUCACUCCUGAUCGUGGUACUUACAAAUUGCAUGUUUGGAUCCCUAAACUUAUGUCGAGUUCAGUCAUAGUACUUGCUUUGCACACUCAACUCCCUAAAGUUGCACUAUUAUACCAUUCUAGUUUAUCCACCCCUACACCUUACCAUCCUCGCCCUUGCCACACCACACACACUUGCCUCAUCUUUGCAACCAUGUGGCGCUACCACAGUCAUAAAAGUUCUUGUUAUGUAGGUAUGAGGAACGGGAUACGUGGGACAUGGAUAGCCAAUUUCAAGUUCCUGGUUCGUAGGGGGUAUACCUCUUUGGGAUGUUUGGUUCGAGGAUGGGAUCAUGAUCCUUAGAUAAUUGGGACGGCAUAACCCGGAACAUAGCUAUGGAUCAAGGAUCGUGAUCCCAGUACAUUUGAGUCGAUAUAAAUAUAUUUAUAAGUCCCAAUUUGGCAUUCAUAAAGAUAAACUUAUAUGCUAAUUAUAGAUAAAAACUUCAAAUAGACCGUGCCAUUUGCCGUGACCACAUGUCUGUGCUCUAUAGUAGCACAACUUCUUCAUCACAAGUUUGCUGGUAUAGCCCGUUGAUCUCCCUGAAUCCUAAUGCUAUAUGCAAGUUUACAAGAUAAGAAACAUUAUUAAUAUUUAUUGCUAAUAAGAAAACUCAAACAUAUCACUUUCAGCUUAGUAUAUUGCUAGUAUUUACCCUCAGAUAUUAGAAUUUUUAGGAUCUACAUCCUAGUUGGCAUGUGCUCUGUUUUUGUAGCUCUUAGUGGCCCUUGACAAAAGAUGCAAAUUAUGGUGGAUAUAUAGACUAGUUUGUCAGCUAUUUUUACAUUCAGCUUGUUUCUCUUUGGUCUUUGGGUGUAUCCGUAGGUACUCCAAAGUCUCUCUUCUGAUGAACUUUUGAUAGGUUUGGAAAGAACUCUCGCUGCCCCACUGCCAAAUUUGGGGCCUGGGCACCAUAGGUGAACCACCAUUUAAUUGGUUCCAUUGUGCUCGCAUCAAGUUUAAGAUUGCAUGCUCACGGUCUAAAUCUGCUAUUUGAUGUAAAGAUUCCAUUACCCAUUCCAUAACCUCUAAAUCUUCAUUUGGUGGUUUCCUUGGAAUGCCCCAAGGAGCAUCCUUUUCAAGAUAUAUUCUAUCAUAGAAGAUAUACUCAUGGAAUCGUGGAGAGAGUGCAUAAGCAAGACACUCAAGCCGAGUAUUCAUCUUUUCCCGUCGUGAACAAGUUAUAUCUUCUAUUUCUGAGUAGUCAUUUUUGUGCGGGUUAUCAUCAUUAUCCAUUAUAUAUAUUCUAUUUUUUAGUAGUCAUUUUUUGUGUGGGUUAUCAUCUUUAUCCAUAGUGCCUUUGAUCUUUCCAACCAUAUUAUCCAUUCUUUUGAAGAUUUCUCCUAUUUUGGAUCUUCUCUAUCACAAAAAUUUAUUACUUGGAAAAUGGGCUCUGUGAUGCCUGGUAUAGUUUUCACCUCAUUUGAGAAGUUGUCAUCAUUGAUUGCUUUAACAAUAGCCUUGAUUUGCAUAUUCUGAGCAUUGUGCAACCUUUCAUCCAAUCUUUCUAUUGCUUGGUGACUACUGUGGCAGCAAGUGCUUCUAUGCAAGCAAUCAACAUGUUGUAAUUUGAAGCAAAUCGAGUCUGUCCCACCAAUUUCUUUGUAACGAAAGUACUAUGGAAUUUAUUGAAUGGAACACCAAUUAGUGACCAUGCACUUGAUUUGCUUCAAAUUAAAUUAUGUUGGACAGGUUGAUUACUUGUAGAGAAGCACUUGCACCACUGUAGUCACCUAGCAAUGGAAAAAUUGGAUGAAAGGUCGCGGCAGUGUCGCAGUGAUCGGAAUAUGCAAACCAAGACUAUUGUUAAAGCAAUAAAUGAUGACAACUUUUGGAAUGAGGUGGAAACUGUCCUAGCCAUCAUGUGAGCCCAUUUUCUCAGUCCUAAAAUUCUAUCAUGGAGAAGGUCCAAAAAUUGGAGAAAUCUAUGAGAGAAUGGACAACAUGGUUGGAAGAUCAAAGACAUUAUGGAUAAAGAUGAUAAACCUGCACAAAAAAUGAUUAUUAGAAAUAGAAUAUAUAUAUAUAUAUAUAUAUAUAUAUAUAUAUAUAUAUAUAUAUAUAUAUCCACGGUUCUAUGAUAUAGUAUAUCUUGAAAAGGAACAUCAUAGGGGCAUUCAAAGAAAACCACCAAAUGAAGAUUUAGAUGUUAUGGAAGGGGUAAUGUAAGCUUUAUGUCGAAUAGCAUUAAGAUUGUGAGUGCAAAUCUUAUGUUAGCAAUUUAAUGAUUUUGUUAUGAGAGGGAAUGUUUGCACUUCCUGUUGUUAAACUUGAUGCGGGCACAAUGGAACCAAUUAAAUAGUGCUUUAGCUAUGGUGCUCAAGCCCCAAAUUUGGCAGCGGUGGCAGCAAGAGUUCUUUCCCAACCUAUCAGUAGUUCAUCAGAGACUUUAGAGUACCUAUGGAUAGAUCCAAAGCACAAAGAGGAACAAGCUGAAUGUAAAGACAACAAAAUAGUACAUAUCCACCAUAAUUUGCACCUUUUGUCAAGGACUACUAAGGGCUACUGAAGCGAAGCACAUGCCAACUGGAUGUAGAUCCUGAGAAUUCUAAUAUCCACAGGGUAAACACUAGUUCAAUAUACUAAGUUGAAAGUAAUCUAUAUGAGUUUUUUUAUUAGCAACAAAUAUUAAUAAUGUUCCUGACCUUGUAAACUUGCAUAUAGGAUUAGGAUUCAGGAAGGUCAACUGGCAACCAGCAAACUUGCGAUGAAGCUGUGCUGCUGUGGAGCGCGGAGCCGCGGACAUGUGGUGAGGACAGAUGGCGCUGUCUAUAUAUUUGAAGUUUUUAUCUUUAAUUAGCAUAUAAUGAUAUAAUUGUAUCUUUACGAAGAAUGUCAAAUUCAGUAUUAUAUAACAAAAUCCAGGAUUAAUGUUUUUUUCUCCAAUCCGAAGUACUCCAUGUCUCCAACACAAGGUAUAGACGACGCUUACCACGAGAAGAAGUCGACGAAUUGACGCAUUGGAAGGAAAGCUCGAAGAACCUGCACUGCCCUCCUUUCCGUUUGCACGCAUCGCAGUCUCCAAGCGUCGGCCAGUCCAGGACGAAACCAUCGCUCAUCAAUCGCUCGUAGUCACGAGUCAGGUUCAUCCCAUCUUGGAACCCGCGCACCGGCACGCUCGCGGAGGUGCAGUUCGCCUGAACCCACUGCGGCGGCAGGGUGCUCUGCAGCUCGUCGGCCGGCCUCUCGGAGAUGUAAGCUCCAACUCCGUGCUUGGAACAUGGCCCCGUCAGCUGCUCGUUAUGAGGAAUCUUGCAGUUGUAGACGAAGGUGAGGUCGUCCCUGUUGGCGGCGCUGAUGUUGACCGGUAAGAGGCCGAGGCUAGAGGACACGUUGAAGUCCGGGAUCUUACACGCCCCGUCGCCGGAGAAGGCGGUCUCCACCGCCACGACCAUGGAGCGGUUGCCGUAGGAUAUGCUGAGCACGCGGUAGAGGUUCACCCUGAACGUCCUGCUGAGGUACGUCCUGCCAGCAGCGGCGUCGCAUGUCAGCCCGAAGGACGGGUAGCCGCACUCCAGCGGAUGCACGCCGGCGAGGGAGAACGGGUACGUGACGCUCAGGUUCCCGCAUCUCGCCGGCGCGCAGCUCGUGUCGUUGCCGCCGCUGGUGGUCCGGCUGGUGUCGGCGUCGGCGUCGGCGGUGACCGUGGCCGUGGCUAAGCCUAAGCGCAGCAGCAAGGUGGAGAGAGGGAGCAGCAGCGCCACCACCACCACGGCAGGCUGCAUCGGGAGAAGAAGAAAUCUUGCUCGCGUCUGCGCGGUGGGAGGAAUUGUGGAGGUUGUGAAAAAACAAAACAAGGGUGUUCCGGUCAGCGCUCAGCGGUCAAGGUCGCCUCACGGGUCCGCGUUACUUGGACUGGAUUUUUUUUUUUUUACAGCCUUGGACUGGAAUUUGUUUCAGCCUUUCAGGAAGAGUACCGCCGUGCACUUUGACUUGUCACAGCUCUACGGUCAGGGAGCCUUGAACGGUCGUGAUGGAGCUUUUUGGACUAUGGAUGUAGGGAUCUUCGUGCUCCGGCUCCCACAGCCAUUUUUCCGGUUGCUUUACUAUUUAUUGGAGCUAAAUUUCUCUCUCUUCCCUCUUCUUUUUACAGAGCUAAUUGAAGGUGAAGCUAAAAUUUUUGACUCUAAUACAGCUUCUUGUGUCAGUGAAAGAGAGGAAGAUGAGAGAGAAAAAUAGAUUCUAUCUGCAGUGAAGCUAUAGGAACUGUGUCAGCUCAAGCUGGAGCCAACUGAAUCCAUACCAAAGAGACCCUUAACUUUGUGUGACUGUUCAAUAGUGCACAUUGAUGAAAAGGAGGACGAACUGAUGGGGCUUUUGUCAGAUAUCAGUAUAUGGAGUGCUUUACUAACUAAGCUCGGAACUGUUUCACUAGUCUUAAUUCCACCCCUCUCAAUGUGUCUUUUAGAAGGGCACUAGUUGGGAACAAGUUGUUGGAAUGGCAAAGUCUAGUUGCGAGAGUUGCUUUUAUUAAUUUAAAUGAGGGUCGGGAUACUUUCGUCUGGAACUUAAAUAAUAAUGGCUUAUUUUCUGUUAAAUCCAUGUACAAAUACCUAGUUAAUAAUGGGAUUAAGGUUACUCAGGAAAUUUGGCAUAUGAAAGUGCCCUUGAAGAUUAAGAUUUUUCUUUGGUUCUUAAAAAAGGGGGUGGUACUCACAAAAGACAACCUUGCUAAAAGGAAUUGGAAUGGGAGUAAGGCUUGUUGUUUUUGUAGCACACCUGAAACUAUCCAACACUUGUUUUUUGAUUGCCAUUAUGCCAGAUUUCUUUGGCGUGCCGCAUUUGUUUUGUUUGGUAUUUUUCCUCCAAGGAACGUGAACCAUCUUUUCAAUAGUUGGUCAAAGUUAGGAGGAUCCAAUCAUAAUCAUCUAUUAUUAACUGGGGCUGCGGCGUUUUGCUGGGCAAUAUGGAUCACAAGGAACGAUAUGAUUUUUGACAAAGGUCACCCAAAAACUUUUUUGCAGGUUCUUUUCAGGGGGACACACUGGUUACGAUUUUGGGCUCUGCUGCAGUGCUCGGAUGACGACAAGGAACAGAUUCGUGACGCUUGCAAGCUACUAGAAUCGAGAGCCAUGGAGUUCUUCGCAUCGCAUGGAUGGUCUUUCAUUUACCGUCUUAAACAUUAAUUCUGAAUCUGUAAUAAGUUUUAAUUAUGGGUGUGCUACUGUAACAAAUUUGGACUGAUGCUUCUUCUUUUAAGAAGAAGGCUGAAGCUGGAAUUUUCCAUUAUCUAAAAAAAAGUCUUCACAUCUGUUUUCUGGGUGGGAGUAAAGCUUCAUUUCCGCAAAAUGCAUGUGGAUAGCGUUUGCCAGUGUCGACUCCGGAGUCCGGAGUCCCGAGGGUGCUGCCGAGGAUAGGAUUCAGACUUGAUGCAUCACACAACCUAACGUAACGUCCAGGCAACACGUGAAAUAACAGCUUUAACUAGCUAUAAGUGGUAUCUUUUUUUUUUUAAAGAUCCGGAUAUUGUCCGGCUUUGACUAAUAAUAAGGAGGAAGAGUAAAACAUCCGUUUAUAAGUGGUAUCGUGGUAACACCCCUUUCAGUUACGUUUUCCUUGUUUUUCAUUUCUUUUUUUUUUUAGUUUCCCUCUGGCUUUACUCUUUCCUUUGUAAGUUUUAACUCCUUUGAAUAAAUUUUCAGUAGGGGCUCACACCCCUCCUGUGUUCCUCAAAAAGUGGUAUCGUGGUAACACUUGUCCAACAGAUAAAAAAAACUAGACCACGGAACGAGACGGAAGAGUUCUGGAGCUGCUCUAACCAGUCACACCGCGAGAAGCUUGGCUUCAACACAGAUAUCAAUCUCUACUCCAUUCCUUCUAAAUUAUAUGCGUCCCCUAUAUAACUUUGAAAAGUUUAUAGAAAAGUGCAUGUUUCAUCAAAUCUACCACGAACAAAGAAAACUCCAUUCUAUUAGUGCAUUUAUCUGAUCUUGUACACGCUAGUUAUAUAUUGAAAACUUCAACUUUAAAACAAAGUUAAAAUGACAAAAAAAUUGGAAGGGAGAAGCAUAUAAAUCUGAGUACUGGAACCAUAACAUUUCCAGAGUAAUUUCGUGAGAAAGAUCACAAACUGAGCAUAACUUAGUUGAUUGAGUUUCUUAUGGUGGAACCUAUCUAAAAUUCUAGUCCUUUACUUGACAUGAGUCCUGAAUUUAUUUAAGGAUUUAAUGACAUUAUUCUUCCAGACGUGUCCAUGAUAAAAAACGCAUUAUAGUUGUUCUUUUUUUUGAAAUUUGAUAUACUAGUGUAUUCAAAUCUCUAUAUUUAUAUCUCUACUCCUAAAAAGUCUAUAAGGACACACUCUGCCUUCCUCAGUUUUUUUUCUCAAAAAUCCUCUGUCUUUCUCAUUUUUUUGAAAAAAGACUCCAUGUAGAUCAAUAUUACAACAUAGCCAUGACUCACAAAUCUUCAUGUUCCCAAAACACGAUCAGCCACUAAAUCACGUGAUCUUCCUUUUCUGUUCUCCAAAAUUGCCGUUCCUCGAUGUCAUUGUUUUGCCGUCCCCUGUCGAUCAAAUCGCUUCCAUCGACUUGACCUCAACGAAUGAGUGUUGAGGUCGCACUCCUAAAGCAACGAGAUACAAGAGAUUAGGUGAGGCUGUGAAGGACCGAGAAAGGCGACAAGAUAGUGGUGGUGGGGGGGGGGGAGUAAGUGGGAGUCUAAUCCAUUUUUCUUUUGAUUUCGGUAGCUAUCCCAAAUCAAGCCCCAAAGCACUCAAAAAACCAAAACUCUAAGGAGAAGUGCACAUGAGUCAACUAGUGACUGGAUGCCCUUCGGAAGUCGGAAGGACUAGAGAACCCAGCAGAACACUCUCCAAAAUGGAGCAGCAGGCAAGGACACGAAUCACACAAAAGCGAAACCAAAAGGCUCUCAACUUCAACUUAAUUAACUGAAGCAAGAGCCCAAACUGAAAUCACCCAAGCCAUCUAGUGACUUGAUGAUUCCCAAAUUUUUCUUGACACCUCAGAAAGCUCAUGGAAGAAACGAGAAGUCAAACAGACAAUCAGAGCGCCUGGUGACACAAAAAAACCGAGAACAACACCCAGAGUGCAGAGGUUCCACACUUCCUACAGCACGGCGCUCCCAUGCUAGCAGAGUCCAGCAGCCCGAACCAAAGGAGAAAAAGUCAAAACUCGACCAAACAGACUAAGCUAAAAUUUUGCACACACCUUCUCAAGAAUGUUUACAAGAUAUCCACAAAAUUUGAGCUCCAAAAUAUCAAAGGUUAAAGCGUCAGCCCAAAAAACAAGCUCUCAAGGGAGCAGUACCGGUUGAAUAUUAGACCAAGGUCAGGAUGAGAUUUCAGAUGAGGUGUUCCCACAUAAUCAUAGGCCUUGUUUAGUUGGUGGUCAAAAAAAUUUUGGAUGUCACAUCGAAUGUUUGAUAGGAUGUCGGAAGGAGUAUUUAAAUACUAAUAAAAAAACUAAUUACAUAACUCGUCUGAAAACUGCGAGACGAAUUUAUUAAGCCUAAUUAAUUCAUCAUUAGCACAUGUAGGUUACCGUAGCACUUAAGGCUAAUCAUAGACUAACUAAGUUUAAAAGAUUCAUCUCGUGAUUUCUAACCAAAUUGUGUAAUUAAUUUAUUUUUUAACUAUAUUUAAUACUUUAUGUAUGUGUCUAAAUAUUCGAUGUGAUGGUUGAAAACUUUUUGGAUGGGGAACUAAACAAGGCCUUUAGUAGUAGUUAUCCUUGUCCAUAUGGCGGAUCGGGGGCGUUUGGUUCCCAGCCAAUGCUCGCCACACCUAACUUGCGGCUGCCCACCGUACCUUGGCUGGUGUUUAGAUUGGGCGCAAGCUGUGGCAGCACAUAUGUUUCAGUCUUUUUCUCUGCCACACUUCUUUAGCGGCGCCACAGCAACUUUGCAUGGCUGGUAGUAGCCAGGAACCAAACAGCCCAUGCGACUUCCGGUUCCAGGUAGCUGAACGGUAGCCAUAAAAUGGGUCAAUCAGUCCAACCCACUCAACCUAGUGUGAAAAAUCUUGGUAAAUGGGUUAACCCAAAAAAGACACAGGGUUUUCAAUGAUCAAUGGGUUACCCAAAAGGCACAGAAACGAUUAAAUUGUACGUAUUUACUCUGUUGCUGAACACCGUUGAUAAUGAAAAACAAUGUAGAGGAAGCUGUAAGUUGACUCGGAAUGAAUCAAUGCUGUGAUCUCUAGACUUUAUACAGCAAAUAAAUCCUGCAAGACCAAUCGAACUGAAGAUCCAGACAGAAGAAGGCACUCUGAAAAUCAGUUUGCAAGAUAAUUGAAGUGACAUUUUCAGUGAAGUGCAAAAUACAUGUUGAUAAACUACACUGUCAUCUCUAAGGUUAAUUCGUAAGCAGGAGUGGAUCCAGGAUGGGGACAAAUGGGAGCUAAAUAGUAAAGAUUUAAGUCUUAAGCUAGAUAUUAUUGUUGAUUUAAGACUAAUCAACACUAAUUUAAUGGAUAAAUCUGGCUCAUAGGGGGACUGUAGCUCACCCAGCACCCCUCUUUGGAUCUGCCCCUGUUCGUAAGCAUGAAAUGGGCUCACACGAGAUCCCAGUACAUAGGAUCAGGGCAAUCCUUGAUGUAAACUUCCGUCUUGAACAGUCAAGGAAUUGUGUAUAUCAUCAUCAUGUUUCAUAUGCCACAUAACCUACAUGAACUUAUGUCAAUUGAACUCUGAUGAACUUUACAAAAAUGUCAGUAAAAAGUUUUUUUUUUAGGAAACAGGAAGGGUUUCACCCCCUACUGGAAUUUAUUGAAAAAGACAAGAUGUACAAAGUGUUACAAGCCUCACUUAGGAGACAAAAAAAGAGUGGAAAAAGAUAAAAAAUAUUAUACAUAAGCUUGUAGCCAUGUCUUCAUCGAUGGUUGCAUGUCACUCUUUGCUCGUAGGAUAACCUGAGCAAAUUCUUGUUUGAAGAUCUCCUUACAGCGACGGAUAGAGUUGUCAAUGCCUCUGAAGAUCUUAUCAUUUCGCGAGGACCAAAUUGCCCAACACAUUGUUACUAUUACAUCCAUGAAAAAAGGUGCAAGAAGCUGAGAUUUAAGAAUUUCCACAAUUUGGCAAACGCUCAUACUAUUUGGCACUAUUACCUGAAGACUCCACCAACAAGAAAUUGAAAAAGGACAAUGGAAGAAAAUUCAGUAAAAAGUCAUGACUGAAAAUAUUGUUCGCUGAUUUAUUAUGAGAGAAAGAUACUGUUGAGUGGCAGAAAAAGUAUAGCUUAUAAGACAAGCGAAUGUGGACAUAGGACAAUUAACAUGGCACCACGUUACCAAAAACCACGAUAAAUCCUACUUAGGAUGCAAACAUAAUUGGUUUAAAAAGUUAAAGAAUAAAUAAAACCAGUUUUAUAGAUGAGGGGAGAAAAUUGGACGACAAUCCGACUUAGAGCAUCUCUAAGAGUACCCAAAAUAUACUCUCAAUUUAGGAUUUUUAGAAAGAUGAGAAAAAUUUUAUCCCUAACAACUCUCGAUCAAUCACAUCUCUCAAUCUUUUAGUACUUGAAAAAAUACAUCAAAACGCAUAAAGAUGCGCAUACCAAUAUCGUGCGUAUCCGUUGCGUUUCAUGUGCCUUCUCCUUUCCGCUGAACAAUUGAAGUUGCCGCCCUUAAAGACAUGUGCUCUCACUUUUGCUCCCACUUUCUCUACCAUUAGAUUAACAUUGAGAAACGUGCAAACACCACACUUCUCAGUGAGAAUCUAGUGGUGAAGCAAGUGAGAGCAGAUAUCCUCAAGAGCAAAAAAUAAUAAUAAUAAAAGAUAACUUGACCAUUUUCCCAAGGCGCCCAUGUGCUCUAGCUGAUUGUUGGUGCUGACCACCGACAUUGGAUCGUUCACGAUGAUCUACGACUACUAGCUCUAGCUUCGCUCCUGUUGUUGCUCAGGACACCUGAACUUUUAUUUAUAGGCAACACAAUAUCCCCCGCCACGCACGUCUCAUGCUGCGUCGCGCCCGUCUAUGCACGGGAACGUUUUAUACGCGUCGUGGUAGGAUCAGACUCAAGCCUCAUCGUGAACGCAGCAUGAGUCCGGCUGUUAGAAGAUGCAUCAAGUUGCUUGCUACUCAAGCUUACAAGGGAAACAUGAUCAUGCAACUAAGGAAACAAUCUAAACUGACAUGACGAAACAUUCGCUGCAUAGGAUUAGCUCUUUCAUUUCACCCCUCUAAUCCUGCUGCACUUGGACUACUCCCAGCUUCUCACGUAGCUCUGUAAACUUGACGCGCCCAAGAGCUUUGGUCAGAAUAUCUGCCAACUGCUCAUUGGUGCCCACAUGCUCUAUGUCGACUUCUCCUCUUUCAACACAAUCACGUACAAAGUGAUAGCACACAUCGAUAUGCUUGCUCCUAUCAUGGUGAACUGGAUUCUUGCUCAAUGCAAUCGCUGAUUUGCAGUGUAAUCAACUUCAGCCAAGCAUAAGGAGGAGACUCCGCAGGGGUUUGGCAAGGCUUGAGCGGAUCAAACUAGGAGACAGUGGCAACAGGUUCUUCAAUGACGCCUUCAAGAAGAAGACUCGUCACUAGCCCAGACGGAUCUGAGCUGGGCUUUCGCCCAAAACGCUUUGCCAAAGCUCUUGUUGACCCAUAAGAAACAGAGAGAGGCACAUCAACAAAUUCGUCCACGCCUGGACCGAAGAGGGUGGGGCGCUUGCCAGCUGCCGCCACACAGAACGGAGCCGUUUCCGGACUCGCCCGCAACAGUGCGAGGCAUGCACCAACAAUCAUCCACGCCUGGACGCCGGAGGUACUGGGGCCUUGCCGGCCGCUGCCACACCACGCGGAGCCAUUCUCGGACUCGCCCGCGACAGUGGAAGGCGCGUGCCGACAAGCGAUAACACUAGAUGAAGGGAGGUUGCUGGCCGCCUCCAUGCCGCGUGGAGCCGUUCUCGGACUCGCCCGCGAUAGUGGAAGACGCGCACCAGCCAGCGUGUGACAGUCGCCGCCACACCGUGCGGAGCCGCUCCCGGACUCGCCCGCAACGGUGGGAGGCGCGCACCGGCACGAUGCCCACGGACGCAGCCCCACCGCCGGCAAGCCCGCAGCCAAACAAUAAGCGCCGUGCAGCUGCUAGGUCGUGCAAAACAAGAGCGAAGAAGAGUGGGCAUGCUGCCCCGCCGCCGGCUUGCCCGUGCCUUGGCUUGGUUGGGAGAGUCCUUAGUCUUUUUGUCCAGCCAUGUGGGUCAAGCUUGGUGAAAAUGCUUCUUAAGUCUUAACAGUGGUUGGGGUGGGUUUUCAGAUGGAUCAAGAGUUGGAGAAGGUGUUUACCUAGUAUGAGGAACCGAUCGAAGUUUCAUCAAGCGAAGAGUUGAAGGACUAUGGACAGACUUUUUGAUUUUUUAAACAGGUAUCAUAUUAUGCUCCAGACGAAGUAAUUACCAAUGAGAUGACAGCCUGAUUAAAAAAGAUUCUAUCAAGAGAUAAUGUGAGUAUUAUUUACCUAUUAAUAUUAUGAUCCCAGUGUUAGUGGUCUUGCUUCCUGCAACAGCCAUGCUGAGGUUACUAAUUUUGCACUCAAAUGAAGAAAACAUAUGCUUGAAACAUAAAUAUUUUAGAGAUAGCACUGCACUACAGAUAUGCGGUGAAAAUGACGAUUUGCCUUGAUACCGAGCUGUCAAUUAUUAUGUACAAAGAUUUUUCAUAAGUCGGGCAUAUGUAAGCAUGCUUUUUUGUCUGUAUGUACUGAUAAUAAUACUAAGUGCACCGGUUGCUUUCACUUAGCCGGCUUAUAGUCGUAUACAUAAGUAUUUUAUAUCGUGCUAUAGUCCUAACAUGUCCAACUAAUUUUGUCCAAACAGUCAAUACCACCACUCCACCAGUGGUAGCCGGGACGAGGUCUAACGUUAAGUCUUUGUUAAUCAGUUUCCUGACUCCUCCAACAGACCAACACGGCUCAGUGCCCAGUCUAAUCUGGCAACCGUACGUUAUUAUUUUAGAUAGAAUUAUUUAUCACUCGAGUAGAGCCAAACUUGUCACUGGCACACGUUCGGGCAUUAGCACCGAUCGGGAAGGGACUGUUGCUCCGGUUCUCGAGCCGGUGCUGCCCUUCCGGGACUAAAGGCCCACCCUUUAGUCCCGGUUCGGGCAACCGGGGCCUUUAACACCGGUCGGUAAUAAAGGGUUUCUUUUUUUUUGGUUCACUUCUUUGGUUCUGUUUAUUGUUUUUAUAUAAUAUAUAAUAAUAGGUUUUUGCUGAUACAAUAAUAUAUUUAUAUUACACGCAUAUUAAGCAUAUAUAAAUGAAAAUUAUAGGCUUAGCUUAAUAAUUAAGCUUUGCCUAUAAUAAAAUGAAUAGACCACAUCAAAAAUUAAAUAGAUAUGUAAAAAGCUUUAUAUAUAUAUAGUUUUAUAUGUACAAAAUUCGUAACACAUAUAUACAUAGAGUUUUUUCUCCCAAUGUCUACAAACGAUACAAAUGAUCAUCGUUGUUUGGAAUAAGAGUGAAAGUUGCCGUUGAAGUGAAACUCGCCGUUUGAAUUGAUCACUUGGUCGCGGAGAAAUCCUGCUAUCGUCUCUUGGAUAGCUUUGAUUCGGUCUUGUUGUAGGACCUUUUCCCUCAGCCAUUCCGUCUUUAAUUUAAAAUAAAUAAAAAAGGUAUUAGUUAUCUAAGUUAUUCAAUAUAAUUCAGGAGAUAAUAAAACGAGACAUGUAACGUACUCUGAGCGUCUCUGUGGGUGUUUGAUUGACUUGUGCCAUCAUGAAUUUGCACACGUAAUAUGCACAUAGAUUGUUCCCCCCUUCUUGUCUUAAACACCACUGUACGAUAUAUAUAUAUAUAAAAAUAUUCACGACCACGACAAUAAGAAGGCUAAAAGUUAGCGAAAGUUUGUUAGCUAGUAGAACUUACUUGUGGAUGUAUUAUGUUAAGCGGCGCUUUACAUCCACUGAGAUGUUCACGGUCAAUGAAUCUUUUCCAAACCCUAUACACAGCCAUUGUGGAUCGUGAACUAAUAAUUACAGAGUCAUAUUAUGAUAUUUUUGUAGCUGAGAUCGACAUUACGUACCUUUGAAUAAUGUUUACCAUUUAUUGAUAAUUUUCUUGUGGUUUUCUCAUUGAGUCAAAGAUUAUCAACCGGUUCUUGGGAAUUUCAAUGACCAUGAGUAUCCAGUGAAAGCUGUUUACAUACACAUAUAUAUAUAGUCAGUCCUAUAAUGUAAAAUAAAAUAUGCAUGCACUUAAUAACUAUAUAACUCACUCGAAGUUGAAGAGGAAGAGUAUUUUUUGUUUUUCUUUUUGGUUCACAAAGAACCUCAUAAGAUUGGUGCAGACUUCUGUCUCAGCAUAUUGUCUAUCUUACGGUCUUCUUUAUGCCACCGCAACAACUUUGCAUUGUCCUUAUUUCUGAACAGACGUUUUAAUCGUGGUAUUAUAGGAGCAUACCACAUAACCUUGGCUGGAAUUUUCUUCCUAUGACGUUCUUCACCCUCAACAUCGCCAUGAUCAUCUCGUCUAAUCUUAUACCGUGAUGCCUUACAUACUGGACAUGCAUCCAAAUUCUCGUAUUCCUCCCCACGGUAGAGGAUGCAGUCAUUAGGACAUGCGUGUAUCUUCUGGAUUUCUAAUCCCAAAGGGCAGACAACCUGUUUUGCUUCAUACGUAGUGGUGGGCAAUUCGUUGCCUUUCGGAAGCAUCUUUUUUAUGAUCUUCAAUAACUGCCCAAAUGCCUUGUCAGAUGUACCAUUCUUUGCCUUCCAUUGCAGCAAUUCUAGUGUGGUACCCAGUUUUUUUUGCCCCUCUUCAGCGGUGGGAUAUAGCGAUUUCCUGUGGUCCUCUAGCAUGCGCUCGAACUUGGCUUUCUCUUUAUCACUUUCACAUUCUCUUUGUGCAUCACGGAUGGCAUCACCAAAAGCAUCAUCGCCCCGAUCAUCUUCUGCCGCCACCUCUUCUUCAUUAUCUCCCCCCAUUGCAACAUCAUUGAAGCCACCGUACUGAGCAAUAAUAUUGGCAUGAUCUAAUUCUUCUUCUUCUUCACCUUCAUCCAUUAUAAUCCCGCUUUCUCCAUGUUUGGUCCAACAAAUAUAGUUUGGUACGAAACCAGACUUUAAUAAGUGUGAAUGAAGAGUUCUUGAGUUAGAAUAUUACGUCAAAUUCUUGCACACGGCACAUGGACAGCACAUGAAACCGUCCCUCUUAUUUGACUCGGCCACACUUAAGAAAUAGUGCACGCCAUUAAUGAACUCUUCGAAGCGCCGAUCGGCGUUAUACAUCCAAUUACGUGUUACCAUCUGCAUUAAAUAUAACAUAUAUAUUAUGAAAACCAUGCACACAUAUAGUUUCUCAUCUUAUUGCACAACAUGUCUAAGAUACAUAGUUGAUUAAUUUACGAAAGCUUGGCUACAACAAAUACAAUCGCAACUAGCACUAAAAAAACCAAAACUAAAAUGCACUUAAGCAACAUAAUUAGUUCGCGUCCGAUCCCAACUAUAAUAGAUAGAUCAUUCGCUUCAUCAACAUCAUUGAACUUCUUUCGUCGGCUCACUGCCUCACCACCUUCAGCCUCAACCACCUGUGCAAAAGAUUUCUUAAUGUGUUCAAUGUAUUCUUCCUUCCAGUACCAACCUGUACAUCCGCCGGUACCGUCCCACUGAAAUUAAAAGAGAGAAUCAAAAGUUUCAUUAAUAUCAUUUAAAAAAAUAUGCACAUAUAUAAGCAAAGGUCUGGAAAUAACUCACAUUACGAUCUGGACACUUGUACCCUUGUUUACUCCCUCUUUCGACACUUUGUACUCCAUCAAAAUCUUCUGCCCACACUUGCCACAAGUAAUGAGAGGGAGUUCCGGACGGUAUCGCUUUUGAACCCGUUGAGAGACCGAAGACCCGGUCACGGUUGCCAUCUACUAUCCAUACUCAAUUUUUAAACAAUUAUAAAUUCCACAUUUACUAGUAAACAUGUAUGAUAUAAUGGACAUUAUAUGUAGUAAUAAAAAUAAAUCAAGUGAUAUUAACAAACCAAUUAAUUUGAACUAUCCUACUUUCUAAGAUCAUAAAAAUAUACUAUAAUUCAUUCUUGCAAACUACAUUAAAACUAGGUCAACCAUAAAAUAUGAUAUAUAUAUAUAUAUACUAAUUCAUGUGAAUGAUUCAAAAUAACAAAGUGGAUUUGAGCUAAAAAAUGAUGGGAACAUCACAAGCCAAAAACAACAUAAAAAGACAAGAAAGGCUGAAGUUAGUCACCUCCAAGCACGAAGAGACGAUGACGGAGUCGAAGAAGAUCAACGAUGGGCGUUGGAGAUGAAGAACAAAUGAAGAACAAGAAAGAAGAAGCUCCAAGAACAACAAUGGUGCUCUCGGUUUCAAAUGGACAGAGGGGAGGAGGGAGCCGGCCUAUAAACCGGACCUUUAGCACCGGUUCAGGGCAAAAACCGGUGCUAAAGGGUUUUCCUCGGCCCGUGGCUCUGGCCGGUGCUAAAGGGGUCUUUAACCCAGGGCCGCAAAAAGGCCGAGGUUUUUGGCCAUUUUGAGCAUCGACCAAUGCCUCAUUCUGUAGUAGUGUGUAAGAAAACAAAUCCAUGGGACUACAUGACUAUAAUGUGUCCUAUGCAACUGUCUUUUAGAAGAAUCAGCGGGGCAUCUCUUCAUCCACUGCUCCUUUGCUUCGAUCUGCUUGCUAGGCUGGUUACAAGUUCAAGUAAUCUUUGAAGAUGCUCACAAACGUAGGGUUGACGUGAGUGUACGUGCAUUGUUAGUAUUUGAGAGUCUUUUUUCAAGUAAUCUUUGCUGGGCUCCGUGCCGCUGCAGUUGUAGAUGGAGCAAAGGGCUCGGUUCCGGCGGCUAAUCGUGAAGGCGCGCUCGGCGAUGAUGCUGAUGGCCAAUACGUUGAAGUCGACGCGGCAGACGCCAUCGUCGCCGGUGGUGAGCCCUGGUGUGGGAAGCAAUGAAGGAGUUGUUGGCGUAGUCGAUGCCGAGGACGUUGAUAUUGUAAUCACCAAUGUUCAGAUGAAUAAAGAAUAGUCACUAUCUUAUGU